UUCUUCCCCUCCGAUUCAACAAAUUUCUCAAUUUCUCUCAGCUUUCCUGAAAUCCAUGGCAUCUCAGGUUGUUGCAGGCAGAUGCCAUAAACCAUAUCAGUUAUAAGGUGAGAAAAAAGAGUUCUUUGAUGACCGGGAAGAGUGUACAGAGGCAUUGUAGUAUGACAGCCAUCAUCAUUCAGUGUUUUAGAUUUAGGCUUACCUAUGAGUUAUUGCUAGGCUUAUUGCCUUAACCUUUGGUUGUUGUUGGUGUUAGUGCUUCAUGAGUUUGCUAUCUUUUUAAGAAGGCCAUGGAAAAUGCACCUUGCAUAUUUGUUGAUGAAAUUGUUGU